GUGGAUUAGUGGCGAACGGGUGAGUAACACGUGAGUAACCUGCCCUUGACUCUGGGAUAAGCCUGGGAAACUGGGUCUAAUACCGGAUAUGACCUUCCAUCGCAUGGUGGUUGGUGGAAAGCUUUUGUGGUUUUGGAUGGACUCGCGGCCUAUCAGCUUGUUGGUGGGGUAAUGGCCUACCAAGGCGAUGACGGGUAGCCGGCCUGAGAGGGUGACCGGCCACACUGGGACUGAGACACGGCCCAGACUCCUACGGGAGGCAGCAGUGGGGAAUAUUGCACAAUGGGCGCAAGCCUGAUGCAGCGACGCCGCGUGAGGGAUGACGGCCUUCGGGUUGUAAACCUCUUUCAGUAGGGAAGAAGCGAAAGUGACGGUACCUGCAGAAGAAGCGCCGGCUAACUACGUGCCAGCAGCCGCGGUAAUACGUAGGGCGCAAGCGUUAUCCGGAAUUAUUGGGCGUAAAGAGCUCGUAGGCGGUUUGUCGCGUCUGCUGUGAAAGACCGGGGCUCAACUCCGGUUCUGCAGUGGGUACGGGCAGACUAGAGUGAUGUAGGGGAGACUGGAAUUCCUGGUGUAGCGGUGAAAUGCGCAGAUAUCAGGAGGAACACCGAUGGCGAAGGCAGGUCUCUGGGCAUUAACUGACGCUGAGGAGCGAAAGCAUGGGGAGCGAACAGGAUUAGAUACCCUGGUAGUCCAUGCCGUAAACGUUGGGCACUAGGUGUGGGGGACAUUCCACGUUUUCCGCGCCGUAGCUAACGCAUUAAGUGCCCCGCCUGGGGAGUACGGCCGCAAGGCUAAAACUCAAAGGAAUUGACGGGGGCCCGCACAAGCGGCGGAGCAUGCGGAUUAAUUCGAUGCAACGCGAAGAACCUUACCAAGGCUUGACAUGGACUGGAUCGCUCUGGAAACAGGGUUUCCCUUCGGGGCUGGUUCACAGGUGGUGCAUGGUUGUCGUCAGCUCGUGUCGUGAGAUGUUG
rnacentral:rRNA from 1 species